rnacentral:tRNA from 1 species
GGGAUAUGGCGAAAUUGGUAGA